GGCUUUAUAGUCUAAAAAAGAUUAUAGACUGCAAUUCUAUAGAUAUGUAAUUUUAAUUAUAUUAAGGCUU
rnacentral:tRNA from 1 species